UUAAACACACACACACACACUCACUUCCACACUCACCCGCCGGCCUCCACUCCAAACCACACCAUCUCACCAUCAUUUUUCCGGCAAGAUCACCGGAAAAAUACUUAGUAACUCCAAAGCAUCUUCAUCAUUUUAUUUGAGGUUCUAGCUAAUCUCCCUCGGAGCUUGGAGAAUUAGGAUUUUGCGAUUGCGAGAGUAGGCAACAAUCUUUUGAGACAGCUUUUUGGUGGCUAAUAGUAGUUAGACUAGCUACUGAUGGAGGCUGAACUUUUGUAAUGGAUAUAUUAGAUGGUGUACAUCUUAGACUAGGUUUGACUCAUUCUUUUGUAUAUUAUAGUGGUUAUGACUGUAUUCCCACUGAUGGGACAAGCUGUUGAUAUGUAUUUGUUUAUUCAGACCUCUAUUCUUUUGUGGCCAAUGGUCCUUGUAAUUAAUGCUUAGAGCUCUGACUUAUUCUGAGAGUAUAUUCUAUGGGAUUAUUAUGAUAAUUCUUGAUGUUGGCACUUGAUAGGAUUUAUGUGGAUUGAAUUGUCAAAAAGGAAAAUUUUACAGG